rnacentral:lncRNA from 1 species
GUCAAAUUUCAUGUUUUUAUGUCAAAUAGCUUUUGAAUAUUUGAUUUCCUCAGUUGAAGAAUUUUUCAAAAUAUUUGAAAUUUUCAUUUUGAGAAAAAGUAAUUUAAAGUUUAAUUAUGCUUUUUACAAAAGUAUAAUUAAAAAGGAACAAAGAUUAAAAAAAGGAUAAAGAUAAUAAAAGAGAUAAAGAUUAAAAAAUAUCAGUUUUAACAAAAUCAAUAUUUUAAUCAUUUUUAGUUAAAUUUUACUGCUAUGGUCCCUUAAGCAAAAAGUCAUCUGUUCAUUAACUGUAAUAAAACUUCUUCAAAACAUAACAGUCCUAUCAGCCAUCAAAAUAUUCAACAUGAAAAUAAAGCUCCUAGUCACUUACUGCCUUGAUCAAUUCAGCAAGUUCCUAACUCUUCACAACCUUCAAGAACUAGAUAUCAUUAAAUUGCUAUUUCUGAAAAGAUGCCUUGAUCUGAAUAAGUGUUGUUCUUCCACUUUCACUCACUUUAUCACUAGUAGCCAAACUUUAAUUAAAGAUGGUUUACAAUUAAAUUUAAUCUUUUCUCAAAAACACUUGAAGCCUAUAGAAAUAUAGAGAAAGAUUAAAAAGAUUCCAAUAUACCAAUUACAACCUAUUGCUUUUCCUUAUAUCUAUGCCAUGGACGAACCAAAGUCUAAAAAAGAUCAACAUUUUCUAUCUAGCAUCAUUUAUCAUGGCUUGCAUCCAGACUAUUACACAAAUAGAAGUUUCCAUCAGCCUUCUGAUAUGUGUAUUUGUAGACACUGAAGAAACCCUGUGUUUAUUUAUCACUACUAAACCUGCCCUAAUUAGGGAAAGGUAUGUAAAAUCAACACAUACUAUUCCCUAAUUCUAGUCUAUUGGUCUUGUAAUUUUUGUUAUAAAAAUAAAAUAAAUAAAAUUAUUAAUGUAUGCUGUUUAUCAUGCUAUACAAAAAAGACAUUUACAAUAGGAUAUAUAAUGAAAAGGUUCGUGUUUUAAUAUAGCGUUGUUCGGAAU